UUCUCGAAAACCCUAAUUUCCAAGUAUGCAGUUUUCAAAUCUAAAAGCAAAAGUAAAUUUUGUUUUAGUUUUUACUUUUUUUUUAAUAUUCGUUUCCUUUUCUUUGGUUAAAUUUUUUUGUCUCUUUGAUUGUCGGUUACUGUAUAGAGGUUAUGUUAGUACUUCGAGGCUGAUGUUUUAACCGGUCUACAUGCUCUUAUUAGUUAUGAAUGCAUUAUGUUUUUGGUGUGCAUUUAGAGAUUCCCAGCUUUUUUAACCCUUUGGGUUGAGAUUCUGGAGUUGGUUAGGAGAGUUGAUGGGGAAUCUAUGCACCUGUCACUGCUAUGGUCCAAUUUGUUAUAUAACAUGACAAACUUUGUCUUUAGUAACUGAAGUCUGAGGGGUAAUGAUUUUGUCUUGGUUUUAAAUUAGUUCCUUAUCGUCAUCUCGGGGCAAGCUGAAUGGCAUGAAUGAAAUGACUUGGUUGGCCUUUAUAGCUCCGGGUCUCUUUUAUUACAUUUAAAAAACCCCAAACACGUGCUUCACCUUCAGGAACAAAAUGGAGAGCUGGUGUCGUGAUGCAUGUAUUUUGCCGAUAUAUAGCUAGAUGGAGUGUUGAGAAAGAAGACGAAUGGAAAGUGUUGCUGACCUUGCCUCUAGCAUUAUUGGUGGAAAAGGAUGAAUUUUUUAUAAUUUUCGCUUUUAACAUACUGGUUUGUGCUUUUUUAUUCCUCUAUUUUGAAUAAAGGUUCCACCAUAUAACCAUGGUUCUGGCAGGAUUUUUUCCCUUGAGAUUCUUGCAUUAUUUUGCAGUUCCUGGCUAUAUUUCUAUUUAAACAAUGUUUCAUCUCUAUUUAAUGGUCUAUUAUGUCGUAAUAGAAUGCAGCUAAAGGUUAGGUUUGUAAUGGGAGUGGAUUGUCUAAUUUUCUGGUGGCAAUGUUACUACUUAGUUUGGAGCGUUU